AUCCAGUUGACGAAUCUCAAAUGGGACGAAACACGCAUGUCUUGGAU
rfam:Schistosoma curassoni strain Dakar, Senegal genome assembly, scaffold: SCTD_scaffold0006536